UAAUGGUAGGAUAUUAAAAUAUUUUUAAUAAUUUAUGAUUAAUAUUAUAAUUUAAUAUUUUUUUAUUUAAUUUAUUUUUUUAAUAUAUUAUACAUUAAUAAAUAAAGUUUUUAUUUUUAAGAAGUUAAAAAUUUAAAUUGGUUAUUAAAAUAAAUAAAUAUUGUGCCAGCAAUAGCGGUUAUACGGUAUAUUUAAUUAUAGUUUAUUAAUUUAAUAAUAAGUUUGUUCAAUUAUUUUUAUAUUUAUUAUUAAUUAUUAAGUAAAAUUUUUAUUUAAUUAUAUUUAUAAUUAAAUUAUUUAUAUAAAAUUAUUAAAAACUAGGAUUGGAUACCCUAUUAUUUAUUAUAAAAUUUAUUUAAUUAAUAUUUUUAUUUAAAUUUAUGUAUUAAUAUUAAUAUAUUUGGCGGUAAUUUAUUCACUUUAGAGGAAUUUAUUUUUAUUAAUUAGAUAGUGCACGAAAUUUAAUAUUUAUUAGGUUUGUUUUUAUAUCAUUGUUAAUUAAGAAAUUUGAAUAAUAACUUAUUAAUAUAUAUAUAUAUAUAUAUAUAUAUAUAUAUAUAUAUAUAUAUAUAUAUAUAUAUAAUUUCAAAUCAAGAUUUAAUUAUUAAUAAAUAAAAAUUAAUUACAUUUUAGUUAAAAUUAGAUUUAAAAUUAUUAAUUUUAAUGAUAUUGGAUUUAAAAGUAAAUAAAUUUAAUUUAAUUUAUUGAAAUUGUUUUAAAUUAUGUACAUAUCGCCCGUCAAUUUUGAUAAAUAAGUCGAAACAAAGUAAAAUUAUUGGAAAAUAAUUUUGAUU
rnacentral:rRNA from 1 species